rnacentral:lncRNA from 1 species
AGCAGCUGCUGUUAUAUGCCUGUGACCCCAAAAAAUAAUUCCAAUUUUUCUGUUUGUUUUUCUGUGAUAUUUGCAAAUUCUUUGCAAAUAAAUGGACAAAUUCUUCCUUGAACUGUAUAUAUUUAUAUUAAAACAUUCUAGAUAUUCCCUUCAGUAAUAUAAAGUACAUAAGAAAAUUGCUCAUGAAUAUCAAAAAUUUGAAUGUAAACAGGAAGUGCUUUGUUCAUGUUGUUGGAGGCAAACAGAAUGCUGCUAAAUAACUGUGUAGCUGGAAACUAAACUGCUUUUAGAGGGACAUCAGAAUAGUCUGUGGCAGUUUGGUUUUACUUCUCAACCAGCGCAGGUCACUGAAGUUUAAAACAAUUAUACUAAGGAUCAGUUGUGGAGCUACAUAGGUACUGCCAAUGAUAAUGGCAAAGUCAGCAAGUUGUUCUUCAGAAAUCUGUUUUCUGAAGAAAAGAACAGGGGACAAUCCCUUACCGGCAGUGCCACUAAUAACACUAAUAACAGUACCUCCGCUAGGCUGGCCAUCAAAGACCAGCAGAAGUUGGAAGUAAUUCAAGAACUGAUCCAGAUGAAAUGGUCGUGGGCCAAGCCUGCAAUGGUCAACAGCAAAAUUUCCAAGAUUCUGAAACCCUAAAGAAACUCCUCAGUCUAGUUUGGAAAGUAGACUGCCCAUGUAUUUUCGAUGUAUUACAGAUAUAAAAAUUAAAAUGUUUAAAUGUGCUAAAUCAGUACUUAUUGUUAUAAAUCCUAACCAUUUUUUAAUUAGCAUAUUUUCAUUUUUAUCAUUACAAAGAACUACACAAGAAGAUUCCUUGGGAUAUACCUACAGUU